CACCAUGUUGCCCAAGCUGGUCUUGAAUUCCUAGGCUUGAGAGACACCUUCCUCAAACCCCAUCAUGGUCUCCCAAAGUGCUGGGAUUACAGCUCUGAAGACUCAGGACAACGAAACAAAACCCUAAUGCCCUGAAUUCCCAAGGAAAUGACCUAAGGUUCUCUUUCUGUCGUGAAGCUAGGAGACCUCUGAGAUGGGAGUCAGUGUGAGGUCUCCAGAGAUGUAAAUUUAUAAUUGAGGUGAGUGAACUCUUGAAAACAUACAGUUCAAGUUGUCCUUUCCACCCUCCCUUUCACCUGCAAGGUGCUAGCAAGUGAAACUCUCACAGAGGAAGAAGUAAGGUCUUCAUUGAAAAGCUGGUGUCACACUCCUUGGGCCAGAGUCCUAGUUUCCUAUUUUGUAAAAUAAGGAUGACAAGGGCAGUUAAGUGUCUAAAACAGUGCAAACACAUAGUAAAUGCUCAAAUGCAGUAGUAGUAAUCGUAGUAGCAGUAGUAGUCAUAGUAUCCAUUAUAAUAGACCUCAAAAAAGAUAAAUUGGGAAGGCUAGAUAAGCCCUUUCCAUUAACAACAAUUGUUUGGACUCAGUUCAAAGGUCCCUUCUCAGAGAAUAAUGGCAGAAUGCAAAUGUAUUCAUCUCCUAUUGUGGCUAUGACAAAUUACCUAAAAUUUGGUAGCUUACAACAAAACAAAUUUAUUAUUUUAUAGUUCCAGAGGUCAGAAUUCCAAAACAGGUCUAGGUAAGCUAAAAUCCAGGUGUUGAUAGAGCUACUUCUCUUUUGGAAACUUUACAAAGAAAUCUAUUUCCUUAUCUUUUGCACUUCUAGAGGCCAUCUGCAUUCCCUGGCCCUUGGCCCACUUCCUCUGUCUUUGAAGCCAGCUCUUCACACCUCUCUCUAACUCUGUUUUUCUGCUUCCCUCUUCCACAUUUAAAGAACAAUUGUGAUUACAUUGGGCACACACCAAUAAUGCAGCAUAGUCUUCUUAUUUUAAGGUCAGCUGAUUAGUGACCAUAAUUCCAUUUGCAACCUUAAUUCACCCUUGCCAUUUAAUAUAUUACAGGUGUCACCUGUUAAGAUGUGGGCAUAUUUGAGGGGCCAUUAUUCGGCCUCUCCUAGCCAGAACUGCAUCUGACAAAGAAUCCAAAGAAAAUAAGACAUACUCAUAAAGAAUCCAGAGUAUGAAAACUUAGAAAAAAUUCAGUGCUCUAAAAGCUCUCCAUGUUUGAAGUUUGUGUUGUGAUUUUUCCCAGUGAUGAUCUCAAAAAUAAAAAUCCUCAUGGUUUAUAUUUGAGGGCCACAAGGAAUCAGGGAGCUGGAGGAGACUGCGUUCCACCUGGCAUCUAGUUUUGCUGCGAAAGCAACCCAUGGAGAUAAUCAAACAACUUGGCAACAAGUCAUAUGGAAGAGGGAGGAAAAAAAGACUAACUUCCCAGAGCUGGAGGGAAAGCAGAAAGCCAUGCUUAAGCUCUCAUCAGUGGGAGCCAUUCCAUCCCAGGAUCCUUUCAGCAACCAAUUUGGAAGUCUAGGCUUUUCAGUAAAUAGUUUUAUCUUGUGUUUCGAAAAAGCCACACUUCAUCUUCUGAGCCUCAUAUUCUCUUACAUGAAGUUACUAAAUAAAUCUGUAUUUCUUUUAUUUCUU
rnacentral:lncRNA from 1 species